rnacentral:rRNA from 1 species
CCUCCUCUCUCCCACAGUCGCGCCUCCCCCGCGCCCAGCUCUUGCCGCCUCGCCUCUCUCUCUCCCUCCAAACCAUAACCCGCACCUGCCUCCCUGCCUAGCCGCCGCUUCCGUGCUGCCCCAGCCCCAAGUCCGGCGGCCUCCUCUCCCUCCAGCGCCGCUGCUCCACCCUCUCCAGCGCCCCUCACCUUAUAUCCCAAAGGAGGGGAGGGGAGGGAAGGGAAUGGCCCAGAUCGAUGAUCGAGGGACGAGGUGAGGCAGCGCCCAGAUCCACAGCGGCAUCGGCGUGCCAUCGUCGACCUGAGCCGCCACCGUCCUCGAGGUCAACCAUGGAGGGGGGUUUGAUCCGUCGGCAGCCAUGGACGGAGACGCCACAAACCCUAGCAUGGGGACCGAGCCGCCAUGGAUGUUCGAAUGAGGAAGGAGGCCAGCGGCCAGGACGACACCAUGAUCUCACCCUGCUUUGCUCCUUCCCCACCAUGACCACGCCAUGGAAGCAGCAGGGUUCCUUGGUGGGUACAACAGCAGCAGUAAGAGGACACCAUGGUGGGUACAGCGGCAGCAGCAGCGGCGGCAAUGGCUCGAUGGACGCCACCAUGGAAGCUGUGGGGCUGGAGGCGGCAUUCGAGGUUGGAGAUGGCAUGAGAAGCAGAGCUCCCUUGUGCCACUCUCUCUACAAAGAAAGUGUAGUCUGCAAGCUUAUCAAAUCUGGGUACUCUUUGUAGAAGUGCAGCACCAUGCAUCAGUGAGCUCCCUAAUUUGGUUAGAACAGAGGGCUACUGUUCUUACUCAUUUACUGCCUGCUGAUCUCUCUCUCACUCCCAUUUCUUCCAAUUUAAUCCCCGGAUCUCAUUUUUGUGUGUGCAAAUUAUCUGUGCCUACACGGUGCUAUGAAAAUCCAAGCGGGCAGAAGUAAAGAUUACUCUAUGUAAAAUUCAUGCUUCAAUGCCUACUCUUAAGACUAUGUAAUAUAUUUUUCUGUGCUUUAGCUGCAGUCAGUGGUGACUUGUGUGUACAUUAUAUUGCCUCUUAGUUAUCUGACAUGCAUAUGCAAUAUCUCUCUCAUCAAUAAAUAUCUAUGUGUGAUUCGCGGGGAAAUAUAUCCGUGCUUGGUAGUUUGAGACUAUUGGUGUCAAGAUCUUGCUCCAAAUUCACAUGAUCUAAUUAGUGUUCUAUACAGAACAACACUUUUGGGUUUUGGGUAAUCUCUCAAUGGUUUCUAAAUGGUAAUCUUGCCUGACCAUUGGUUUUUUGAGUUCUUUAAAAGAGUAUUAUUCUUGGCUUGCUGGUCGCCGCUGGAGCUGGACAAGAUAAUGGCAAGCCUUACCUGGUGACGUAUUGGCUAGGAAGAGUGCAAGUUGCCGCCCACACGUACCAGAUGGUGCCGUCAAGGAUGUUGUCGUACUGACUGCCGAUGAUCUACAUGUAAUCAGUUUUUCCUUAGCUUCUAUUAUUAGUCUCUUUUUCCUCUGAAUCGUUCGACUCGUGGUUGCUUCUACAAAAUAGCUCAUCUUUUAGCUUGAAAUGUUACCAUGAAACUUAUCCCCUUUAUUCACUUAAACAAUUUAUGAUGGUGGUUUGGGUACCAAGCUCAGUUGUUUUUUUAUAAAAUGAUUACAUGGUCCAAUAUUUCAGUUCUGUUACGUAUAUUCGUUUUUUAUGUUUUUCUGAACCUUAUACUUCCCUGUAUUUGUUUUUGUUUGGCUAUGAACAUCCCAAGAGAUGAAGAUGUUGAAUUUGCUUCAAACUACUACUAUAAAUUUAGAAGCUUCCUAGACUGCAUGUCAUGGCCAUGACAAUAGGGACAUGGAUGGUAGGUUUGAGGGUGUUCGUUGGCCAUGACAAUUUAGGAGGUCUCUGCUCGCCAGUUCUCAGCCUGUGAAAAUUGAGCACAGUUGAUGCGCUUGCAGCACUCAUACUCCCUCCGUUCAAAAUUAAAUGUCACUGAUUUAGUACAACUUUGGAAAUAGAUUAAAUUGUUGUGGUUCAGGUUCCUUUUGCUUCAGAUAAGACCUAUGAAAGAGUUAAUUUAUUCCGAAACUAUUAAAGCUGGAGAGUGGCAUCUUUUUGUGGGGCUGCAUUUUUAAUGGUUCAUUAUUUUUAGAAGGGGUUAAAUUGCAUUGUAGGAAACGAAAGAAAAAAGUGAUGUUGAUAGUGGCGGCAGAACUUUUUAAUUCAUGUGCUGAUGAUGUCAAACCUGCAUUGUAGGAUAUAUUUGUGUAAUCUCCUUAUUGUCAAUCUGCUUGUGUUUGUGUUUUCGACCAAAAGCUAAUCUUUCUUAUGGUUAGUCUCACAACUCUAUGUUAAUACUGGGGUUGCCGCUAUUUGAGGAAUGAGCUCAUUGAGUUGAUCAUUUUGGAUGUGCCCGUAUAUGGACAACAAGUCGAAUUGUUUGUUGUAUUUGCAUGGUGGAGUUUCAGUUGACCUGCCUUUGGUAGAACUCAUUGGAUGGAUUUCUAUUUUCAAAUACUUACGGCCUCUUGAUCCAUGACACUGGUUGUUUACAUGUAUAGGAGAUACACGAAAACUGAAUAGAUUUGUUUUACUAAAUAACUGAAGGGAUUAUUCUACCUAGCCCCAUAAAUUUCUUUGUACAUAUUGUUUGUUUUAUAUGUACUAUAUGAGAUAACCAGGGCAAUUUCACCCUUGUAAGAACAUAUUGAUCUGGUGAUUGAGACAUUAGGGGAAGGGUCAUGAUUGAGCAAAGCCCAUUUAAAUGUAGUUCUGGUCUCAAGCACAGUGUGCUAUGUUGUUGUCGUUCUGUAUUUGUAUUUAGCGCCUCUUUGGUUUGUACAUUUCCACAAUAAUAGCUUCAAUCUCUUUUGCUAUUUGAAACUGCAGUUUUUUUAAGGGUCACACAUACACAUGAUGUGUUCACAUGUUAGUUGAAAACUCGGUGAAUUAAAUAUAUAUCUGAACUACUAUUGAUAAUCAUGGCUAAAGAAAAAUAAAUUUCUUUAAGUUUGCUUCCCAUGUACAUGUGUUACUGCUUGUGAAUCUCUACAGUUCAUGAGAACUUGCUAUAGCUCACAGUAAAGCUGCCACGAAAAUUUGUUGCUGAGCUGGCAUUGAUCCUUGGGAAAUAGAGGUAUGCCCAUUCUAUUGUGUUCUAUAUGUUCCGUUUGAUGCAUCUUGAAUAUGCUUUUCCACACGUUCAUCUUCUAGCUCCAAUCAAUGUGUUGAAGUCCGGUACUUUAUUUCUAUGUGAGCAUCUCAUCGAGCUAACAUCCAUUUCAUUAGUUAUAUCGCUUUAUUGACAUCUGAUAGAGAAGGAUACAAAUGAAUCAAGGACCAGUUCAAAUAACAUAAUGAAAAUAAAAUAACAUAAAAGUCUCGUGUUCAGUGAGUUCUCAAAGCUAUUAUGGUCUAGAGAUUUGUACAGGCUGAAAUUUGAAAGUGGGAUGUGGCGAGUUGUCCAGUGCAAUCGAGCCAUAAAUAUAAAAGACAUAAUAAGAAGUGUUAUGCCCGUUUAGUGGAUUCACAACUGUUGUUUGAUGCAAUGUUUAUUGGGGUUUACCAUCGCAUGGAGACUGCAUAGAGCUAAGACUAUUCUGCGGAAAUUUUGUGAACACUUUGUCAGUGGCAAUGGAAUUGGUGAGUUUCUCUGCAAUUAACUACCUCCUGCAAAGCAACAUCAUAAAUGUCAAUAACAUGGACUUGCUGUCACCAUGUGUUCGUGAACAAAUAAGUAUUGAUAAUCAGAUUAUUACUUUUGGUCUUUCAAAGAUGCUUAUAUGGUAGUAUACAAAGUUUCUGAUUAUGACACCAUGUUAAUUGAACUUGAUUUGUUAUGUGAUUUAAACUUUGCUUUUCCCAGUCACCAUGUGUUUUCUAAAAUUACUAUUAACACAACUUUGUUCUUCCUAGAGCACCGACAGCAACCACAUCAUGAAAGGGUCGAGGGGAAGAUGAUAUGAUACGUGUCACUGAAAGCGAAGCUCAAGCCAUUUUUGUCGCUGUAUGACAAGGUUGCCAAUGUCAUCACUGAGCCGCCUUCUUUGCUUCAGAGGCUUAUUGUGCUGCUAUUGUUCUCUGUCUCUUAUCCACUCGCCCAUUGUAGUGCAGCAAUUGCAAGCUCCACAUUCCCAUGGCUGCUCAUCCUCCGUAACUUUCUCUAGCUGAGCUCAUGCCACCACUGCGGCACACCUCUCUUGUAGCUGUCGGGUGACCGCGUGUGCCGUUGCCACCACUAGAGAGAUCUGGGAGAAAGAGGAGGCAAAGAGGGAGAUGGAGCGGAAAGAAUAAAGGUAAAGGAAGGAUCAAGAGGAGACACCAUAAGCACGCCGGUGUCCUCCAGGCCUGCUACUACGAAUUCUCCAAGCAACACCAAUCUAUAGCAGCAAGGUUCACAUUUAAGAAAUUAAUAAUAAUAAUGUGAUUAGGAUUUUUGGUUCCAUUACAUAAAUCCCCAAAACCAUCUUUGCUUUACUAUGACUUCUCCAAGCAACACCAAUCUACAGCAGCACCCUGUUAUGUUUGGAAGAUGUUUAUUGCUUUGUUCUAGCUUUAGCGUUUGGCAUGAUCGAUGUUGAUGACGUUAAGUAAUAGACUGGUUGAGAUUUUGUUAUGGUGCUUUGGAUGGUUCCAGCUACCAGAUAAUUAGAUAAUAUUUAUUGUUGGUUUCUUAUUCUAUAAAAGUGCCUUGUGCUCUUAAGAUAACACAAUCCCAUUGUUUGUCAUAUCAUAAUACAACAAACUGCCAAUUUUUUU